rnacentral:rRNA from 2 species
GAAUUGACGGGGGACCCGCACAAAGCGGUGGAGCAUGUGGUUUAAUUUCGAAAGCAACGCGAAGAAUCUUACCAAAAUCUUGACAUCCUUUGACCGCUCUAGAGAUAGAGUCUUCCCCUUCGGGGGACAAAGUGACAGGUGGUGCAUGGUUGUCGUCAGCUCGUGUCGUGAGAUGUUGGGUUAAGUCCCGCAACGAGCGCAACCCUUAAGCUUAGUUGCCAUCAUUAAGUUGGGCACUCUAGGUUGACUGCCGGUGACAAACCGGAGGAAGGUGGGGAUGACGUCAAAUCAUCAUGCCCCUUAUGAUUUGGGCUACACACGUGCUACAAUGGAUAAUACAAAGGGCAGCGAAUCCGCGAGGCCAAGCAAAUCCCAUAAAAUUAUUCUCAGUUCGGAUUGUAGUCUGCAACUCGACUACAUGAAGCUGGAAUCGCUAGUAAUCGUAGAUCAGCAUGAAUACGGUGAAUACGUUCCCGGGUCUUGUACACACCGCCCGUCACACCACGAGAGUUUGUAACACCCGAAGCCGGUGGA